UACGUAGGGGGCUAGCGUUGUCCGGAUUUAUUGGGCGUAAAGAGCGUGUAGGCGGCCAGGUAGGUCUGCUGUGAAAACUCGAGGCUCAACCUCGAGACGUCGGCGGAAACCAUCCGGCUAGAGUCCGGAAGAGGAGAGUGGAAUUCCUGGUGUAGCGGUGAAAUGCGCAGAUAUCAGGAAGAACACCCGUGGCGAAGGCGGGUCUCUGGACAGUUCCUGACGCUGAGGCACGAAGGCCAGGGGAGCAAACGGG
rnacentral:rRNA from 1 species